CUGUUGGUCAUCUAGAUGUCUUCUUUGGAAAAGUGUCUGUCUAUUCAUGUCUUCUUCCCAUUUCUUCACUGGAUUAUUUGUUUUUCAGGUGUUGAGUUUGGUGAGUUCUUUAUAGAUUUUGGAUACUAACCCUUUAUCUGAUAUGUCGUUUGCAAACAUCUUCUCCCAUUCUGU